rnacentral:lncRNA from 1 species
GUUUGCACUCACUAAUGUGAUAAGUUCCCGCCACUGAAUAGUUACCUGAUAGGCUUUCAACAUUCUUAUAUGAGAAAAAUCAUGAGAUUUAAGCUACCGAAUGAAUUAAUCUGCUAACUUGUCAAAACAAGACUGACUAAACAUUUGCGCUAACUAAGCAGUAUCCUCAUCAGUCCCAACCAAAGCACUAGGGAAAAGCAACUUCCGUGCAGUAUUUGAAGAAUUGUGGAAGUGCCACUCAAUCUCGCAAAAUCACGAAAGGAUGUGAUGCUAUUAAAUAUCAAAAUCGAAGCAAUUGGUACGAGACUGUUAUGUAAAUCAGAUUCUAGUGUGUUCUUUUUUAGCUUUAACAAUGUUAAGUCCAAUCCUACAAACUAUCAUUGCCGAAUAAGCCUCCGGCAAUGAAUAAGCGGCAGAUCACGUCUUAUUUUUAACUUUGUCUAAUUAGCCUAUUCAAGAAAGUACCGUCUUUGCUAACACACAGUUUCCUCCAGCUUCUUUGAAUUAAAGCGGUCUAAUAUUAAAAAUUUCACCCACUCGGAAAUACCGAUUCAUUGCAUUUGAAGUGCUUGACGCAAAUGAAAGAAUUAAUUUCUGGGAAAUUAAUUUUGUCGACAGGAGAGAGUUUUUAGGUUUAAUGUUCUAGACUGAAACUUUUUGUUUACUUGCUUUUUUUUUUUUUUUUAAGAUCGAGUUGUCUCUAGAAACAGUCCCAUCGAUAUUCAUCGAAGCAUCACUGUUCCUCGAGUGCCCAAGGAGACAGCAUUUUUUUUUUUCAGAUUGAUGAGGCGCUCAAAUGUUAUCUUUGCGGUAAACAAAGCACUCGAAAGUUCGCGUGAUCUUCCCAUUAAACCGGACUUACUUGAAGCCAGACUUUGAACCACAAGCAAACAUAGGUAGCAGACUAAUUAGUUUAAGACAGUUCUUGCCACGUCAACGCCAAAUGCGGGCGCAGUAUCGAACGUUUUGCAGGGCCAGGUGUGAGAGGGCCUCAUGGAUCAUGUGAUUCGGGAAACUUAUGCUUUCUGCCGAGUUCCUGGCUCACUUAGCGGAAUUGGCAAGAGUUAUGACAAUCUUUACUAUCAGUCUGUGGAGCAAAUUUGAAGCAGAACCUUGAAAAGUUUCCUAGGAGAAUGGAUGUACAAUUUGGAUAAACGAUACACGUGUUGCUGAGAUGGAUUACGACACAGACAACUUAUGCUUUGAAUCAAGUUUCUGACUCUGGGCCAAUUUUUUUACACUUCUAAGUAAAGAUCUGGCUAAAGGGUCGUUUUUCUACUUUCUGAAUGAAAAUCAAGAAAUUUUUUAACACUUCUAGGUACAUCCGUUGUAAAAACGCAGAGUGAGGAUGCAGCUCACUGAGCGUAAGCAUAAUCAUUUUAUUUACUCCCAGAAUUUGAACAACAGUUUUGCAGUAAUUGCAUAACUGAGUCCAUGUUUGCGGCUCGAUUACCCGACGAAAUCUUACUUAAGUGAGUUAUUUCGUAUUUUUGGUCUGUUUAGAUGGGAUAUUUCUCAACACUACGGAAUUCAGAAUUACACAACCGCUUCACUAGGGUGUGAUUCACUGAAUGUAAAAAACAUCGGAAAUAAUUUCGAAUUAGAGCACAACUAAAUGAGGCAUACCUCUAGAAUACAAAAGAUAAGAAACAUGGUAAGGCCGGGAAACUUGAGAGAUAAAUUGUUCUUAUUUUUUUGCAGAAAGAGAAGUGUGCCUUAACUGAAUUAUUGACAUAAGAAAACAUGUAUGAAACACGUAAAUCAAAUUAAAUUUUAUGAAAUUA